GUUUCCAGACUUAAGCCUAAAUAUGUGAAGUUUCUAAAUAUAAAAAAUUAAAAUUAAUAAAAAAAUUAUUAAUAAACUUACUUGCUGUGAUGACUGUGAUAACGAGUCCAGCUAACCACAUAGAUGCAGAUCUCGAAAAAUCUCAAUAACUGUAUCGCAGACGACGUUUCGAAAGCUCUAAGGUCAUUGGCUCCAAAAUCUCAGUACGACCUCCUCCACAUGUGCAUCAUCCCACAUCU
rnacentral:lncRNA from 1 species